rnacentral:rRNA from 1 species
CCUACGGGAGGCAGCAGUGGGGAAUAUUGGACAAUGGGGGCAACCCUGAUCCAGCCAUGCCGCGUGUGUGAAGAAGGCCCUCGGGUUGUAAAGCACUUUCAGUGAGGAAGAACGCCUGGUGGUUAAUACCCAUCAGGAAAGACAUCACUCACAGAAGAAGCACCGGCUAACUCCGUGCCAGCAGCCGCGGUAAUACGGAGGGUGCGAGCGUUAAUCGGAAUUACUGGGCGUAAAGCGCGCGUAGGUGGCUUGAUAAGCCGGUUGUGAAAGCCCCGGGCUCAACCUGAGAACGGCAUCCGGAACUGUCAAGCUAGAGUGCAGGAGAGGAAGGUAGAAUUCCCGGUGUAGCGGUGAAAUGCGUAGAGAUCGGGAGGAAUACCAGUGGCGAAGGCGGCCUUCUGGACUGACACUGACACUGAGGUGCGAAAGCGUGGGUAGCAAACAGGAUUAGAUACCCCAGUAGUC